rnacentral:lncRNA from 1 species
GUUCUACACAUUUGACCUAUCCGACCAUCGAGUACCAUUGCUAGAUAGUCAUUUCGAUUGGUACAAAAAUUUAUUCCUAUGCUAUCGACUUAGAUUCGAACCUAUGAGGUCAUACACAUUAGAGUUCACGAUCUGAUCGGAUGGUUGAUCAAUGAUUAAGAAUCAUUCUAGGAUUAAACGAUCAAUACGAUUGAUAUUUAACCUAGUGCAAGUGU